rnacentral:lncRNA from 1 species
UCCAUACCGAUAUAUUAUUAUAUUAUGUUCAGAAGUAACUUGUAGUUAUGAGUUUUAUUCUGCUAAUGUACAAUCUGUUAUGUUCUGAGGUAACUUGUAGUUAUGUGUUUUAUACUGCUAAUGUACAAUCUGUUAUGUUCUGAAGUAACUUGCAGUUGUAUAUUUUAUACUGCUGAUGUACAAUCUGUUAUGUUCUGAAGAAACUUGUAGUUAUGUGUUUUAUACUGCUUGUGUAUAAUCUGUUAUGUUCUGAAGAAACUUGCAGUUGUAUAUUUUAUACUGCUGAUGUACAAUCUGUUAUGUUCUGAGGUAACUUGUAGUUAUGUGUGUUAUACUGCUAAUGUACAAUCUGUUAUGCUCUGAAGUAACUUGUGGUUGUGUGUUUUAUACUGCUAAUGAACAAUCUGUUAUGUUCUGAAGAUACUUGUAGUUGUGUGUUUUAUACUGCUAAUGUACAAUCUGUUAUGUUCUGAAGUAACUUGUGGUUGUGUAUUUUAUACUGCUAAUGUACAAUCUGUUAUGUUCUGAAGUAACAUGUAGUUGUGUGUUUUAUACUGCUAAUGUACAAUCUGUUAUGUUCUGAAGUAACUUGUGGUUGUGUGUUUUAUACUGCUAAUGUACACUCUGUUAUGUUCUGAAGUAACUUGUAUUUGUAUGUGUAUACUGCUUGUGUACAAUCUGUUAUGUUCUGAAGUAACUUGUAGUUGUGUGUUUUAUACUGCUGAUGUACAAUCUGUUAUGUUCUGAAGUAACUUGUGGUUGUGUGUUUAAUACUGCUAAUGUACAAUCUGUUAUGUUCUGAAGUAACUUGUGGUUGUGUAUUUUAUACUGCUAGUGUACAAUCUAUUAUGUUCUGAAGUAACUUGUGGUUGUGUGUUUUAUUCUGGUAGUGUACAAUCUGUUAUGUUCUGAAGUAACAUAUGGUUGUGUGUUUUAUACUGCUAAUGCACAAUCUGUUAUGUUCUGAAGUAACAUGCAGUUAUGUGUUUUAUAUCCCUUAUGUGCAAUUUGUUCUUUUCUGAAGUAACUUGCAGUUGUGUUUUAUACUGCAGGUGUACAAUCUGUUGUAUUCUGAAGUAACUUGCAGUUAUGUGUUUUAUACUGCUUAUGUACAAUCUGUUUUGUUCUGAAGUAACUUGUAGUUGUGUGUUUUAUACUGCUGGUGUACAAUCUGUUAUGUUCUGAAGUAAUUUGUUGUUGUGUGCUUUAUAUUUCUUAUGUACAAUUUGUUCUGUUCUAAAGUAACCUGUAGUUGUGUGUUUUUUUUAUUGCUUAUGUACAAUUUGUUCUGUUCUGAAGUAACUUGUAGUUGUGUGUUUUAUACUGCUGGUGUACAAUCUGUUAUUUUCUGAAGUAAUUUGUAGUUGUGUGUUUUAUUCUGCUUAUGUACAAUCUGUUAUGUUCUGAAGUAACUUGUAGUUGUGUGUUUUUAUACUGCUUGUGUACAAUUUGUUAUGUUCUGAAGUAACUUGUAGUUGUGUGUUUUAUACUGCUGGUGUACAAUCUGUUCUGUUUCUGAAGUAACUUG